rnacentral:piRNA from 1 species
UAAAAAUCUUGUUCUAGUGUAUCUUGCUU